rnacentral:rRNA from 1 species
AUUGAACGCUGGCGGCAUGCCUUACACAUGCAAGUCGAACGGCAGCACGGGGGCAACCCUGGUGGCGAGUGGCGAACGGGUGAGUAAUGCAUCGGAACGUGCCCAGUAGUGGGGGAUAACUAGUCGAAAGAUUAGCUAAUACCGCAUACGACCUAUGGGUGAAAGCGGGGGAUUCGCAAGAACCUCGCGCUAUCGGAGCGGCCGAUGUCUGAUUAGCUAGUUGGCGGGGUAAAGGCCCACCAAGGCUUCGAUCAGUAGCUGGUCUGAGAGGACGACCAGCCACACUGGGACUGAGACACGGCCCAGACUCCUACGGGAGGCAGCAGUGGGGAAUUUUGGACAAUGGCGCAAGCCUGAUCCAGCCAUGCCGCGUG